rnacentral:rRNA from 1 species
GGGCCCGCACAAGCGGUGGAGCAUGUGGUUUAAUUCGAUGAUACGCGAGGAACCUUACCAGGGCUUAAAUGUAGUAUGACCGGUCUAGAAAUAGGCCUUCCCUUCGGGGCAGAUUACAAGGUGCUGCAUGGUUGUCGUCAGCUCGUGCCGUGAGGUGUUAGGUUAAGUCCUGCAACGAGCGCAACCCCUAUUCUUAGUUGCCAGCGGUUCGGCCGGGGACUCUAAGAAGACUGCCAGCGCAAGCUGAGAGGAAGGUGGGGAUGACGUCAAAUCAUCACGGCCCUUACGUCCUGGGCUACACACGUGCUACAAUGGUACAGACAGAGGGCAGCCACCUGGCGAGUAGGCGCG